UCCCCGCACGCAAGCUUCUCCCCAAUCUCCUGCCUCACUGCUCUCCCAAUCUCCUUCUUACCCGUGCCGCCGCCACUAUCCUUUGCCUCAUUUUUCCGCCGCCGCCACCCCUCUCUCCUCCGGCAUGCCUCCUCCCUAGUGCUCAGCAGGAGGAGCACGAGAUUUCGCCAGGGGCGCUCAGCGAGAGGAGCACAAGGAACCAAACCAAAUCGGAGGGUGAUGAGCCAAGGUGAGCACCUCCUUCCCAUCCCGUGCAUCCUUGCUGGAGGACGAGGAUGAGCCAUGGAAGGGGAAGGACCUCAUUUUGGCUUCUGUGUUAGCCGGCCGUACGGGCGUCCGUGCUUGCCGCUGCUGCUCCACCUCUUCAUCCUCUACAUCUAAAGGUGGAGCACGUGCUGAUGAACGAGGACAUCAAGCCAGGGUGUUUGACGAAAAUCCUUGAGGGAAACAUUAUAGGUGCUCAACAAGGAAGAUUGGGAUGGGACGGGGGAGAAGGCAUGUGCCCUCAGCGACAAGGAUUUAGAGGAUGCAAAGAUGGCUUGUUCUUCAUCCGGGGCCUGCAGGUUUCUCCUCUCUCUCUCUCUCUCACUAGAUCACCUCCUUCCUUAUGAAUUAAUUUGAUGCAGAUGUUUGUAUCAUAGGUCGCAGAUGUGUGUGAAGGUGUUGAUUUUGCACAUAUUUGGGUAGCUUUGGCUUGUGAUUACCCGUGUACACUUGGGCAGAAGUAUGAGGAAUUAUGUCGGUGGUUUGCUGGUUAACAGACUGAAAGACCGAGGCUGAUGUGAGCUAGCAAUGGCGGAGGCUCAAGAGGAGCGCGGCGUCGCAACCUCCAGUCGUAGCGUUAGCCGCUACUGCCACCAUCGCCAUACUUCUCUCAGCUACAUGGAUGUGAGUGCAUUCACAUAGUAUUGAGGUUCCUCUCUUGCUGCUACUCCACCUGGAGGAGCACCAUCUUGGUCGCCGGACUGUAUCCUCGUGUGGACAUGGUUGCGUGUAUAUUUAGUUACCUUUUUCUCUGCAGCUUAGUAAAUGAGAGAAACAAGGUCUACACAACUGCAAUGCAGAGUUGAAACUUCUAUAAGAUUUCUAUUGUGUGUGCUUGCUUUCCCAACAUUAGUUCAUAUUGUGCGUGCUUGGUUUGACCUCAGAAAUGGAGCUAAAAUUAGAUACAUCAGAAGUUCAUGAUUAAUGACAUAGCAAUGGAUCAAUCUUCGGCGUCAUUGAUAUCAUUUUGCUCAAAUUUAUGCACACUGAACAUGGUGUUGUGUUGCUCUGUACAGGUGAUCCGGAUAUUGCAGAAAGAUUUUUCACACAGCGAGAACGUUUCUUUAGAUCUUCAAGAAUGUAUGCUUAUAUUCAAAUGUUAGUUAUGGUGGGUGUGUGUGGUGAAGUAAUUAUCCAGCGGUACUAAUUAGCAAUCCGUUGUUAUCUACAACUUCCUGUUUGGUAGAAGUCAUUUUAAUUGCUUGCUAAAACUGUAUGAGGACUGACUGCGUUUUUUGUUGGUCUAUUCAGCAAAUUUAUAGAUUGGAUUAGGUUCAUAUGCUUAAGCCAAGCUCAGGUUCAAGUGUGAUUCUCAUCUAAACAAGAGCGCCAUUGUUGUUGUCAAAA